rnacentral:rRNA from 1 species
UACGGAGGGUGCAAGCGUUAAUCGGAAUCACUGGGCGUAAAGGGCACGUAGGCGGCUUGAUAAGUCAGGUGUGAAAUCCCUGGGCUCAACCUGGGAAUGGCAUUUGAUACUGUUGAGCUAGAGUCUGGUAGAGGGAGGUGGAAUUCCAGGCGUAGCGGUGAAAUGCGUAGAUAUCUGGAGGAACACCGGUGGCGAAGGCGGCCUCCUGGGCCAAGACUGACGCUGAGGUGCGAAAGAGUGGGGAGCAAACAGG